rnacentral:rRNA from 1 species
UACAGAGACUGCGAGCGUUAUUCGGAUUCACUGGGCGUAAAGGGUGCGCAGGUGGCUAGGUGAGUUAGGCGUGAAAGCCCGGGGCUUAACCCCGGAAUUGCACCUAAAACUACUUGGCUAGAGCAUUGGAGAGGGGAGCAGAAUUCAUGGUGUAGCAGUGAAAUGCGUAGAUAUCAUGAGGAAUACCAGAGGCGAAGGCGGCUCCCUGGACAAUUGCUGACACUCAGGCACGAAAGCGUGGGGAGCAGAAGGG